UGUCAUGUUGGAUACUCUACAUUCUGCAUGCUAAGCAGAGACAGGGAGGAACAACUUCAAGAAAUUCAAGUAGAAUUCAAGUAGCUACUCUUCUUUAUCUUGAACAAUUGAUGGUUCCCACACCUACUAGGAGGCUAAAGGCAGCUCUGUGGGCCAGUGCUCCCAGCCAGCCACUCACUUUGAAGUCUAGUAUCCGGAUCCUGAUAAUAUUUUAAAUGUAUAAUAGAAACAAACUCACUUUGACUCUGCUAAAAGUUGCCUGGACUAUGGACACUUGGCUGCAUCUCCAGGAGUCAUACUGGUGGACCAUGAACUGACCCUGAAUCUGGAAGGCACGUGCUAGAAUGGUGGAAGAGAAAGAAAGAGCGAGCCCAAAUCCCUGAUUUGGAGCUACCACAUCAGCCCUGUACUCUUUACCUUCAGACUUCUUUUAUAUAAGAGAGAACACUUCUUUUAUAAGCCACUUAUUUUAGGUUUACUGAUAUAUGCAGCUGAGCCCAAUAUUAAAUGAUUUCUUAAUCA